rnacentral:misc_RNA from 1 species
GAAACGCGAUAGUUAAUGUGAAUUGCAGAAUUCAGUGAAUCAUCGAGUCUUUGAACGCACAUUGCGCCCAUAGGUAUUCCUUUGGGCAUGCCUGUUCGAGCGUCAUCUAAACCUUCAAGCCCUGCUUGGUGUUGGGUGCCUGUCCCGCCUCCGCGCGCGGACUCACCUCAAAUCCAUUGGCGGCCCCCGCGUCGGCCACGAGCGCAGCAGAAACGCGAACUCGUGAGCCCGUCCGGGCGGCUCCCAGAAGCUACACCCACCCAGUUUGACCUCGGAUCAGGUAGGGAUACCCGCUGAACUUAAGC